UCCCUCUGUAACUGACAAGUCAUUUCUCAAGGGUCAGUCAGAACACCUGUUAAUCCAGGUUUCAGGUGAGACCAAAAAAGUGCCUCACACACUUCUGAUUCAUUCUCCUCUGCAUUGAAGCCAUGAAGUGGGUAAAGUUCUUUGCCUAUCUCACCUUCUUUCAUUCAGAAGUAAUAUCAGAUAUCCAGUUGGAACAAGACCAAACCCUGACUGCCCAUGUUGGAAGAACUAUCACCUUACAUUGCACCUUGAAAGGAGGGGACUUGAAAAGCCAUCAAAUGAGCUGAAUGACUUUCAUGGAAAUGUAUUUUGCAUGCCUAUACAUGUACAACCUAUGUCAAAGCAGAAAUAAGGAAGAAGAUGAAGAAAGAGAAUCUGGAAGUCAAAUUUUUUUUAAAAAAUUGUUGUUUUAUAU